CUCCACCACAUACAUACUCAUUGGCCAUGAGGCUCCCAUGACCAGGAGGCUGGGCUCCCCACUUGAGAUGUGAGGCUUCAUCUUACCUUCAUCCAGAUCUGGCUACCACCACCUCCUCCCCUUCUUGAUCUACCUCCAGAUCUGGCUGGCAUGUUCCUCUCUCGAUUUGGCAUGACAUAGACAAGUUUUUCUUGCUUGUUCGGAGGUUCAUGAGGAGACCACUAGUGAGUCUCUUUUCAGUUGAUGGGAUCUGCGGUGGUGGUUGCAGGCAAACCCCCUAGUACAUCCUUCUCAUGAUCAUUGCAGGCCCUCCGCCCUAUCUUGAACUCAUCAGCCAGGUGCAACUUCUCCUUAAGAAAUUUGUGGUGCCAUCAUGUGGGUCGAUUAGGACAGCCAUGAUGGACAGCAAGGGAACAAGAAAUUUGAGAGGAAAAUGGGGAGAGAAGAUGAUGCCUAACCAAAAACCAAGGUAGAACAGUACUUUGGACGACAGAGCUUCUAUGAUGCAGGGUUCAAAUUAACAUCUCAAGUUGCCAUGAUAUCAUGCAAAAAGUAAAAUGGGGUCAGAUUAUGUGCAUGAGUUCUGGAGGGUUCUACCAAGAUCACCAAAAUAUGUUUAUGAAAAUAGGGAGAAGAAGGAAAGAAA